AUGCAGUCCUGUGCCAGGGCGUGGGGGCUGCGCCUGGGCCGCGGGGUCGGGGGCGGCCGCCGCCUGGCUGGGGGAUCGGGGCCGUGCUGGGCGCCGCGGGGCCGGGACAGCAGCAGUGGCGGCGGGGACAGCGCCGCGGCUGGGGCCUCGCGCCUCCUGGAGCGCCUUCUGCCCAGACACGACGACUUCGCUCGGAGGCACAUCGGCCCUGGGGACAAAGACCAGAGAGAGAUGCUGCAGACCUUGGGGCUGGCGAGCAUUGAUGAAUUGAUCGAGAAGACGGUCCCUGCCAACAUCCGUUUGAAAAGACCCUUGAAAAUGGAAGACCCUGUUUGUGAAAAUGAAAUCCUUGCAACUCUGCAUGCCAUUUCAAGCAAAAACCAGAUCUGGAGAUCGUAUAUUGGCAUGGGCUAUUAUAACUGCUCAGUGCCACAGACGAUUUUGCGGAACUUACUGGAGAACUCAGGAUGGAUCACCCAGUAUACUCCAUACCAGCCUGAGGUGUCUCAGGGGAGGCUGGAGAGUUUACUCAACUACCAGACCAUGGUGUGUGACAUCACAGGCCUGGACAUGGCCAAUGCAUCCCUGCUGGAUGAGGGGACUGCAGCUGCAGAGGCACUGCAGCUGUGCUACAGACACAACAAGAGGAGGAAAUUUUUUGUUGACCCCCGUUGCCACCCACAGACAAUAGCUGUUGUCCAGACUCGAGCCAAAUAUACUGGAGUCCUCACUGAGCUGAAGUUACCCUGUGAAAUGGACUUCAGUGGAAAAGAUGUCAGCGGAGUGUUGUUCCAGUACCCAGACACGGAGGGGAAGGUGGAAGACUUUACGGAACUCGUGGAGAGAGCUCAUCAGAGUGGGAGCCUGGCCUGCUGUGCUACUGACCUUUUAGCUUUGUGCAUCUUGAGGCCACCUGGAGAAUUUGGGGUAGACAUCGCCCUGGGCAGCUCCCAGAGAUUUGGAGUGCCACUGGGCUAUGGGGGACCCCACGCAGCAUUUUUUGCUGUCCGAGAAAGCUUGGUGAGAAUGAUGCCUGGAAGAAUGGUGGGGGUAACAAGAGACGCCACUGGGAAAGAAGUGUAUCGUCUUACUCUUCAAACCAGGGAGCAACACAUUCGGAGAGACAAGGCUACCAGCAACAUCUGUACAGCUCAGGCCCUCUUGGCGAAUAUGGCUGCCAUGUUUGCAAUCUACCAUGGUUCCCAUGGGCUGGAGCAUAUUGCUAGGAGGGUACAUAAUGCCACUUUGAUUUUGUCAGAAGGUCUCAAGCGAGCAGGGCAUCAACUCCAGCAUGACCUGUUCUUUGAUACCUUGAAGAUUCAGUGUGGCUGCUCAGUGAAGGAGGUCUUGGGCAGGGCCGCUCAGCGGCAGAUCAAUUUUCGGCUUUUUGAGGAUGGCACACUUGGUAUUUCUCUUGAUGAAACAGUCAAUGAAAAAGAUCUGGAUGAUUUGUUGUGGAUCUUUGGUUGUGAGUCAUCUGCAGAACUGGUUGCUGAAAGCAUGGGAGAGGAGUGCAGAGGUAUUCCAGGGUCUGUGUUCAAGAGGACCAGCCCGUUCCUCACCCAUCAAGUGUUCAACAGCUACCACUCUGAAACAAACAUUGUCCGGUACAUGAAGAAACUGGAAAAUAAAGACAUUUCCCUUGUUCACAGCAUGAUUCCACUGGGAUCCUGCACCAUGAAACUGAACAGUUCGUCUGAACUCGCACCUAUCACAUGGAAAGAAUUUGCAAACAUCCACCCCUUUGUGCCUCUGGAUCAAGCUCAAGGAUAUCAGCAGCUUUUCCGAGAGCUUGAGAAGGAUUUGUGUGAACUCACAGGUUAUGACCAGGUCUGUUUCCAGCCAAACAGCGGAGCCCAGGGAGAAUAUGCUGGACUGGCCACUAUCCGAGCCUACUUAAACCAGAAAGGAGAGGGGCACAGAACGGUUUGCCUCAUUCCGAAAUCAGCACAUGGGACCAACCCAGCAAGUGCCCACAUGGCAGGCAUGAAGAUUCAGCCUGUGGAGGUGGAUAAAUAUGGGAAUAUCGAUGCAGUUCACCUCAAGGCCAUGGUGGAUAAGCACAAGGAGAACCUAGCAGCUAUCAUGAUUACAUACCCGUCCACCAAUGGGGUGUUUGAAGAGAACAUCAGUGACGUGUGUGACCUCAUCCAUCAACAUGGAGGACAGGUCUACCUAGACGGGGCAAAUAUGAAUGCUCAGGUGGGAAUCUGUCGCCCUGGAGACUUUGGGUCUGAUGUCUCGCACCUAAAUCUUCACAAGACCUUCUGCAUUCCCCACGGAGGAGGUGGUCCUGGCAUGGGGCCCAUCGGAGUGAAGAAACAUCUCGCCCCGUUUUUGCCCAAUCAUCCCGUCAUUUCACUAAAGCGGAAUGAGGAUGCCUGUCCUGUGGGAACCGUCAGUGCGGCCCCAUGGGGCUCCAGUUCCAUCUUGCCCAUUUCCUGGGCUUAUAUCAAGAUGAUGGGAGGCAAGGGUCUUAAACAAGCCACGGAAACUGCGAUAUUAAAUGCCAACUACAUGGCCAAGCGAUUAGAAAAACACUACAGAAUUCUUUUCAGGGGUGCAAGAGGGCUCACAUAGAGAUGGAGAGAGAUGCUGGAAUUCCACUGCAGUUUCUAUUUGAACGCAGCAGAGUAUGGAUUUAGAAACUGACAUCUGAACGUCAUUUAGAAAAUGGAGCUCUUCGUAAACCUCUUGGCUAUGGUGGCGGCCUCUUCAGAUGGCACUGUAGUACUAGCAGUGCUGCGCUGGGCUUGGCUUGCUGGUGCCUUUCAGCUGUUACUGAGCCUCUGCUUGGAAGACUCUCCUCUUGCGCUGCCAGCAAGAGUGCCUCCUCCCCCACUGUGUCCCUCCCCUCCUCCCCUCCCUGCUGUCUGGUGUCAUUCCGAGCAGUGAGCUUCCAUUAGCCUAUUAGCCUUCGUCCUCCAAUCACUGUCACAAUCAGGGCAUUUUGUUUUGUUUAAGAGACGGUCUUGCUUUAUUACCCAGGCUGGAGUACAGUCACAUUAUCAUAGCUCACUGCAGCCUCAACCUCCUGGGAUCAAGCGAUUCUCCCACCUCAGCCUCCCAAGUAGCUGGAACUACAGAUGUCUGCCACACACCUGGCUAAUUUUUAAAUAUUUUGUAGGAUAGGGUCUUGCUUUGUUGCCCAGGCUGGUCUCCAACUCCCAAGCUCAAGCAAUCCUCAGCUGAGCAUUUAAGAGUCCUGGUAUUAAUAGUUGAUAAAAACUUAGUCUAAUGAUUUUCCCCUUGAACAUUCCACUUACUAUUCUGUUUCAGCAUUUUUUUCCUAUGUUUACCUACCCAUGAAUAGGAUUUUCUACCUCUUUUUUUUUUUUUUUUUUUUUGAGAAAAGGUCUCACUCCGUCACCCAGGCUGGAAUGCAGUGAUGUGAUCUCGGCUCACUGCAGCCUUGACCUCCUGGGCUCAAAUGAUUCUCCCACCUCAGCCUUACACGUAGCUGGUGCUACAGGCAGGCACAACUGCACCUAGCUAAUUUUUUGGUUUUUUUUUUAGAAACAAGCUCUCACUAUGCUGCCCAGGCUGGUCUCAAACUCCUGAGCUCAAGCGAUCUUCCUGCCUCGGUCUCCUGAAAUGCUGGGAUUACAAGUGUUAUGUGGGUCAUGAAUUUAUUUUGGACACGAGACCCUUCAAAAAAUCUGCAAAUAUUGAGGCUGUGGAUGUGGCCAAGAGACUCCAGGAUUAUGGAUUUCACGCCCCUACCAUGUCCUGGCCUGUGGCAGGGACCCUCAUGGUGGAGCCCACUGAGUCGGAGGACAAGGCAGAGCUGGACAGAUUCUGUGAUGCCAUGAUCAGCAUUCGGCAGGAAAUUGCUGACAUUGAGGAGGGCCGCGUCGACCCCAGGGUCAAUCCGCUGAAGAUGUCUCCACACUCCCUGACCUGCGUUACAUCUUCCCACUGGGACCGGCCUUAUUCCAGAGAGGUGGCAGCAUUCCCACUCCCCUUCGUGAAACCAGAGAACAAAUUCUGGCCAACGAUUGCCCGGAUUGAUGACAUAUAUGGAGAUCAGCACCUGGUUUGUACCUGCCCACCCAUGGAAGUUUAUGAGUCUCCAUUUUCUGAACAAAAGAGGGCGUCCUCUUAGUCCUGUCUCCCUAAGUUUAAAGGACUGAUUUGAUGCCUCUCCCUAGAGCAUUUGAUAAGCAAGAAAGAUUUCAUCUCCCACCCCAGCCUCAAGUAGGAGUUUUAUAUAAUGUGUAUAUCUCUGUAAUCUCUGUCAAGGUAAAUGUAAAUACAGUAGCUGGAAGGAGUCGAAGCUGAUGGUUGGAAGACGGAUUUGCUUUGGUAUUCUGCUUCCACAUGUGCCAGCUGCCUGGAUUGGGAGCCAUUUUGUGUUUUGCGUAGAAAGUUUUAGGAACUUUAACUUUUAAUGUGGCAAGUUUGCAGAUGUCAUAGAGGCUAUCCUGGAGACUUAAUAGACAUUUUUUUGUUCCAAAAGAGUCCAUGUGGACUGUGCCAUCUGUGGGAAAUCCCAGGGCAAAUGUUUACAUUUUGUAUACCCUGAAGAACUCACUUUUCCUCUAAUAUGCCUAAUCUGUAAUCACAUUUCUGAGUGUUUUCCUCUUUUUCUGUGUGAGGUUUUUUUUUAAAUCUGCAUUAGUAUUCUAAUAAAAGCAUUUUGAUUGGAAGAA